GACGAACGCUGGCGGCGUGCUUAACACAUGCAAGUCGAACGGAAAGGCCCUGCUUUUGUGGGGUGCUCGAGUGGCGAACGGGUGAGUAACACGUGAGUAACCUGCCCUUGACUUUGGGAUAACUUCAGGAAACUGGGGCUAAUACCGGAUAGGAGCUCCUGCUGCAUGGUGGGGGUUGGAAAGUUUCGGCGGUUGGGGAUGGACUCGCGGCUUAUCAGCUUGUUGGUGGGGUAGUGGCUUACCAAGGCUUUGACGGGUAGCCGGCCUGAGAGGGUGACCGGCCACAUUGGGACUGAGAUACGGCCCAGACUCCUACGGGAGGCAGGAGGGGGGAAUAUUGCACAAUGGGCGGAAGCCUGAUGCAGCAACGCCGCGUGCGGGAUGACGGCCUUCGGGUUGUAAACCGCUUUCGCCUGUGACGAAGCGUGAGUGACGGUAAUGGGUAAAGAAGCACCGGCUAACUACGU
rnacentral:rRNA from 1 species